rnacentral:rRNA from 1 species
GAUGAACGCUGGCGGCGUGCCUAAUACAUGCAAGUCGAGCGAACAGAUGAGGAGCUUGCUCCUCUGACGUUAGCGGCGGACGUGUGAGUAACACGUGGAUAACCUACCUAUAAGACUGGGAUAACUUCGGGAAACCGGAGCUAAUACCGGAUAAUAUCUUGAACCGCAUGGUUCAAUAGUGAAAGACGGUUUUGCUGUCACUUAUAGAUGGAUCCGCGCCGCAUUAGCUAGUUGGUACGUUAACGGCUUACCAAGGCAACGAUGCGUAGCCGACCUGAGAGGGUGAUAGGCCACACUGGAACUGAGACACGGUCCAGACUCCUACGGGAGGCAGCAGUAGGGAAUCUUCCGCAGUGGGCGAAAGCUUGACGGAGCAACGCCGCGUGAGUGAUGAAGGUCUUCGGAUCGUAAAACUCUGUUAUUAGGGAUGAACAAAUGUGUAAGUAACUAUGCACGUCUUGACGGUACCUAAUCAGAAAGCCACGGCUAACUACGUG